GGUGGGAUGGCAGAGUGGCCGAUUGCGCCGGUCUUGAAAACCGGUACCCGUCAGGGUUCCUGGGUUCAAAUCCCAGUCCCACCG
rnacentral:tRNA from 1 species